rnacentral:rRNA from 1 species
UGAGGAAUCUUCCGCAAUGGGCGAAAGCCUGACGGAGCGACACCGCGUGAAGGAUGACACCCCUCGGGGCGUAAACUUCUUUUCUGGGUGAUGAAAUUCUGACAUUAGCCCAGGAAUAAGCACCGGCAAACUAUGUGCCAGCAGCCGCGGUAAUACAUAGGGUGCAAGCGUUAUUCGGAAUUACUGGGCGUAAAGCGUUCGUAGCUGGUUUUAUAAGUCUGGUGUUAAAUCUCGGAGCUCAACUCCGAGGUCGUAUCGGAUACUGUAGAACUAGAGUGAUGCAGAGGUACAUGGAAUUUAUGGUGUAGGGGUAAAAUCUGUUGAUACCAUAAGGAACACCAAAAGCGAAGGCAGUGUACUGGGCAUCUACUGACAGUUAGGAACGAAAGCGUGGGGAGCAAAAAGG